CUGAGAGUUACAACUACAAACCCUUGUGAACCAUCUUUGUUGCUGCUUCGGCAGGUAAUCCCAGGGCGGGAUUCUAGGCUCCUUACGGGGCACCUGCCAGCGGUAAAACCUUUCAAACUCUGAAAUUACAACGUAGUUCUGAGUGACAAAAAAAUAAUUA
rnacentral:misc_RNA from 1 species